rnacentral:rRNA from 1 species
GACGAACGCUGGCGGCGUGCUUAACACAUGCAAGUCGAACGAUGAACCCGGAGCUUGCUCCGGUGGAUUAGUGGCGUACGGGUGAGUAACACGUGAGUAACCUGCCCUUGACUCUGGGAUAACUGCGGGAAACUGUAGCUAAUACCGGAUACGACCCUCGGCGGCAUCGCCAGGGGGUGGAAAGAAUUUCGGUCAAGGAUGGACUCGCGGCCUAUCAGCUAGUUGGUGAGGUAACGGCUCACCAAGGCGACGACGGGUAGCCGGCCUGAGAGGGUGACCGGCCACACUGGGACUGAGACACGGCCCAGACUCCUACGGGAGGCAGCAGUGGGGAAUAUUGGGCAAUGGAGGAAACUCUGACCCAGCGACGCCGCGUGAGGGAUGAAGGCCUUCGGGUUGUAAACCUCUUUCAGUAGGGAAGAAGCGAAAGUGACGAUACCUACAGAAGAAGCACCGGCUAACUAUGUGCCAGCAGCCGCAGUAA